rnacentral:tRNA from 1 species
GCGAGCGUGGCUUAGCUGGUUAAAGCAUCGGGUUGUGGUUCCGAGGAUCGUGGGUUCGAAUCCCAUCGCUCGCCCCA